CAACUUACCUGUCAGGGGAGAUACCAUGAUCACGAAGGUGGUUUUCUCAGGGCAAGGCUUAUCCAUUGCACUCCGGAUGUGCUGACCCCUGCGAUUUCCCCAAAUGUGGGAAACUCGACUGCAUAAUUUGUGGUAGUGGGGGACUGCGUUCGCACUUUCCCCUG
rnacentral:snRNA from 1 species